rnacentral:rRNA from 1 species
CAUGCUUAACACAUGCAAGUCGAACGGUAACAGGCUGCUUGCUAGUGCUGACGAGUGGCGGACGGGUGAGUAACGCGUGGGAACAUGCCUAUUAGUUGGGGACAACCUGUGGAAACGCAGGCUAAUACCGAAUACGUUCUACGGAAUAAAGGUUGCCUCUCCUUGGAAGCAAUCGCUAAUAGAUUGGCCCGCGUUGGAUUAGCUAGUUGGUGUGGUAAAGGCUCACCAAGGCAACGAUCCAUAGCUGGUUUGAGAGGAUGAUCAGCCACACUGGGACUGAGACACGGCCCAGACUCCUACGGGAGGCAGCAGUGGGGAAUAUUGGACAAUGGGCGCAAGCCUGAUCCAGCAAUGCCGCGUGUGUGAAGAAGGCCUGAGGGUUGUAAAGCACUUUCAAUUGUGAAGAAGGGUUUGUGGUUAAUAGCCAUGAACAUUGACGUUAACAAUAGAAGAAGCACCGGCUAACUCUGUGCCAGCAGCCGCGGUAAUACAGAGGGUGCAAGCGUUAAUCGGAAUUACUGGGCGUAAAGCGCGCGUAGGUGGUUAGAUAAGUUGGAUGUGAAAUCCCCGGGCUUAACCUGGGUCGGUCAUUCAAAACUGUCUAACUAGAGUAGAGUAGAGGGUAGUGGAAUUUCUAGUGUAGCGGUGAAAUGCGUAGAUAUUAGAAGGAACACCAGUGGCGAAGGCGACUGCCUGGACUCAUACUGACACUGAGGUGCGAAAGCGUGGGUAGCGAACAGGAUUAGAUACCCUGGUAGUCCACGCCGUAAACGAUGUCAACUAGACGUUGGUCUCCUUAGAGGGAUUAGUGUCGAAGCUAACGCGAUAAGUUGACCGCCUGGGGAGUACGGUCGCAAGAUUAAAACUCAAAGGAAUUGACGGGGGCCCGCACAAGCGGUGGAGCAUGUGGGUUUAAUUCGAUGCAACGCGAAGAACCUUACCAUCUCUUGACAUCCAGAGAAUCUGUUAGAGAUAGUAGAGUGCCUUCGGGAACUCUGAGACAGGUGCUGCAU